rnacentral:tRNA from 1 species
GCCUUCAUGGUGUAGUGGUCAGCACGCUCAGUGCGUAUUCGAGAGGUACAUGGUUCGAGUCCUGGUGAAGGCA